GACAUAUAUGAAACCCUAUCAGCAGUGGAAAAACAACUGAGCCACAGGCUGACUCGGAUAGUGACACGUGGAAAGAGAGGUAGAAAAGUGCCCAUUCUCCUUCUUGAUCGCACAAAAACCUCUCUCGACUUCAUGAUUGAAAAACGGAAGGAAGUUGGCGUAAUUGAUGACAACCCAUUUCUGUUUGCCAGGAUCGGAACAGAAACCAAUAUUCGUGGAUGUGACUGCCUUCGGAAAUAUGCUAAAGAGAGCAAGGUAGCCAAGAUUGGGAAACUACUGUUUGCAAUGGAGCAUGGAGCAAAGGCGCUUAAAGGGAAGAAUCUGAAGACACUGGACUCAGUUGUCUUUGGACAUGAAGCCACCUCAACCAAAGGCUUGAGAGGAGUCAAAGAGAGAGGGACAUCAAAUGUAGACAGACGACUGGAAGCUAAUGAUGAUGGAGAACAGCCACACCUGUCAACCACAAGCCCACCUGUCAAGAGGCCAACAAAGACUGCAACUAAAAGACAUGAUGAUGAUGGGAGUUAUGAUGAUGGGGAUGGAGAGGUGCGACAACAGACCGCCAGAAGACCACCUAUUAAGAGACAAAAGAAGACUGCAGCUAAAGGACAGGAUGAUGGGAGUGAUGAUGAUGGAGAUGGAGAACAGCCACACCUGUCAACCACAAGCUCACCUGUCAAGAGGCCAAAGAAGACUGCAACUAAAAGAAGGCAUGAUGAGAGUGAUGAUGAGAGUGAUGAUGAUGGGUGUGGAGAGAAGCGACCCUCGACCGCAACAAGACCACCUGUUGAGAGGAGAAAGAAGACUAAACGAAACUAUGAUGAAUAUUAUGAUUGGGCUUUCUCAGAUGGAGAGGAGCUACUAAUCACAACACCCCCUGUUAAGGGGCGAAAGAAGACUGCAACUAACAGAGGACGUAAUGAUGAUGAUGCUCCAAAAACACAAUUAAAGAGACCCUGGACUGACCAGGAGAGGACUGCAGUCGGGCGAAGCAUGGCAAAGUUCAUCUCGCUAAGGAGGGUGCCAGCAAAGACAGACUGCAUGCUUUGUAUUGCGAAAGAGUCUCCAGUCCUUAGCGAUCGAACAUGGAAAGAUGUUAAAUAUUAUGUCCACAAUGCAAUACUUAAAAUCAAGAGAAAGCUUGCAUUUUAAAGGAGACCUGUUAUGUUCAGUGUCAGCCAAGUUCUGUUGCUGAGCCUACAAGCAAGGCAGCACAGCCAUUAGGAGGAGGUAGGGUGAAUGGGAAAGAGGGAUGGAGGGAUAAAAGAGGCAGGGAAUUGGGAUGAGAGGAAGAAGGUGGAGAGAGAGACAGGGGGAGACGGGUAGAAAAAGAGACAGGUAGAAAGAGAGAGACAGGUCGAAAAAGGAGAGAGGGAGAGAAAGGUAGAAAAGGAGAGGGAGAGAGACAGGUAGAAGAGAGGGAGAGAGACAGGUAGAAGAAGAGAUUGAGAGAGACAGGUAGAAAAAGAGGGAGAGAGACCGGUAGAAAAAGAGCUUGACAGGUAGAAUAAGAGGUAGAGAGAGAGUUUGAUACUUUUUCGUUCGAGAAACUCCUGAAUAAUCGCUGUCGGUUCUGUGUUGUGUUCAAUAGUGUCUAUAUUUUUCUUGUAUCUGUAUUUAGGAUUGGUACU
ensembl:lncRNA